UACGGAGGGUGCAAGCGUUAAUCGGAAUUACUGGGCGUAAAGCGUGCGCAGGCGGUUUCUUAAGUCUGCUGUGAAAGCCCCGGGCUCAACCUGGGAAUUGCAGUGGAUACUGGGGAGCUAGAGUGCGGUAGAGGGUAGUGGAAUUCCCGGUGUAGCGGUGAAAUGCGUAGAGAUCGGGAGGAACACCAGUGGCGAAGGCGGCUACCUGGACCAGCACUGACACUGAGGCACGAAAGCGUGGGGAGCAAACAGG
rnacentral:rRNA from 1 species